AAUAUAUGGGAUUUUGAAUUUUUGCUUGCAACGUUUGACCACUCGUCUUAUUUAAUUUUUUAUAAAAAUUAUUAUUUAUUUUAUUUGUGACUUACUUUGUUAUCUACAGUACUUUAAGCAUAACUUCUUGUUUUUUAUAUUUGUAAAAAAAAAUAAAUAAGAUGAGUGGUCAAACGUUGCAAUCGAAAACUCA
rnacentral:pre_miRNA from 1 species